rnacentral:rRNA from 1 species
UGCAGUCGUACGAAAAUUUUUAAUUUAAGUGGCGGACGGGUGAGUAACACGUAAGAAUUUGCCUUUAGGAGGGGGAUAACAAUUGGAAACGAUUGCUAAUACCCCAUAUGCUUUCGAGUGAAAUGAAUUUUUUCGCCUAAAGAGAAGCUUGCGGCUGAUUAGCUUGUUGGUAAGGUAAUGGCUUACCAAGGCGACGAUCAGUAUCUGGUUUGAGAGGAUGAUCAGACACACUGGAACUGAGACACGGUCCAGACUCCUACGGGAGGCAGCAGUGGGGAAUUUUCCGCAAUGGGCGAAAGCCUGACGGAGCAAUCUCGCGUGAGGGAUGACGGCCUAUGGGUUGUAAACCUCUUUUUUCAGGGAGGAAUAACUGACGUGUACCUGAAGAAUAAGCAUCGGCUAACUCUGUGCCAGCAGCCGCGGUAAUACAGAGAGUGCGAGCGUUAAUCGGAAUUACUGGGCGUAAAGCGCGCGUAGGCGGACUUUUAAGUCGGAUGUGAAAUCCCUGGGCUUAACCUAGGAAUUGCAUCCGAUACUGGAAGUCUAGAGUAUGGUAGAGGGAAGUGGAAUUUCCGGUGUAGCGGUGAAAUGCGUAGAUAUCGGAAAGAACACCAGUGGCGAANGCGGCUUCCUGGACCAAUACUGACGCUGANGCGCGAAAGCGUGGGGAGCAAACAGGAUUAGAGACCCUGGUAGUCCACGCCGUCAACGAUGANAACUAGUUGUUGGGAGGGUUACCCUCUUAGUGACGCANCUAACGCGUUAAGUUCUCCGCCUGANGAGUACGGCCGCAAGGCUAAAACUCAAAGGAAUUNGANNGGGCCCGCACAAGCGGNGGAGCAUGUGGUUUANUUCGAUGCNACGCGA